AACGCACAUUGCGCCCUUUGGUAUUCCGAAGGGCAUGCCUGUUCGAGCGUCAUUAUCACCCCUCAAGCCCCGGCUUGUUGUUGAGCGCCCGGCGCCUCACCCGCGCCCGCUCCAAAGAUAAUGACGGCGUCUGUGAGGACUCCAGUACAUUGAGCUCUCGGGCACGUACUCGGCACGAAUCCAGACCCGGUCACAACUUUUUUACUUAUCAAGGUUGACCUCGGAUCAGGUAGGAAUACCCGCUGAACUUAA
rnacentral:misc_RNA from 1 species